GGGAAAAUGGAUAAUAAUGAAGCCCACAGAUUUUCACUCCAGAACUGACUUUGCUGCAGAGGAGUGAGGAGAGCUGCCUGGCAACGCAACGCAUCGCUGUGCAUAAACUUUGUUUACAGCCAAGGCUGGAGUAAAGGAACAGAUGGCAAGAAAAUCGGAUUUAAAGAAAGGAAGGAUGUGCUUGCAUCUGGGAGCUCGGUAGAUCUCUUGGCUUCUGGUGUGCGUACAAGGGUGACGUCUAGCUACCCCGGCAGUCGCGUCCCAGUUUGCUGUUGAUUUUUGCCUGUUUGGAUCUGUCUCUGAGGAUGGUUAAUACAUCUUAUUACAAGCAUUUAUCUCAUCCCUCCCACAGGAAAUGUGUUUUCCCAGGGAUUUGUAUGUUCCCUAACCUUUUAUGGAAAGCAGUUUCUUGAUCAUCCAUGUGAUUGUGUAUCUAAAAUUUCAAGAAUAUUUAAGCUGUUAAUCCUGCUUGUCUGUAGAAGAUGGGUUUAUAUUUCUAUGAUCUUGGAAAUAUUUACAAUGAGCGUGUAUAACAAGGAGAAAUAAGCAUAAACAUUUAUGCCUGCCACAUUUGUAA
rnacentral:lncRNA from 1 species